UACGUAGGUGGCGAGCGUUGUCCGGAAUUACUGGGUGUAAAGGGAGCGUAGGCGGGUCGGCAAGUCAGUGGUGAAGUACAUGGGCUUAACCCAUGAAUUGCCAUUGAAACUGCCGGUCUUGAGUGGAUCAGAGGCAAGCGGAAUUCCGAGUGUAGCGGUGAAAUGCGUAGAUAUUCGGAGGAACACCAGUGGCGAAGGCGGCUUGCUGGGGUCUAACUGACGCUGAGGCUCGAAAGUGUGGGGAGCAAACAGGAUUAGAUACCCU
rnacentral:rRNA from 1 species